rnacentral:lncRNA from 1 species
AAGAAAUGUAUUAAAUCCUUCUGAAAAUGUUUACAUGUGAAAAUUGCCAAAUUUUCAAAUAAAUGAAUGUCCUGUACAUUUCUUACAUUAAAAUUUAAGUUAAGGGGUAAUAAAUGAACACAUACAGGUUUAAUGAAUUUUGUUAAAUCUCACUGCAAUGGCAAUACAUUGGCUCAGUUACAGUUAAAUCUGUGAACAGACUUUAUGUUAAUGAAAUCAUUAGAGCUCUGUUCUUUGAAAUGUUACUUGACAAAGCUGUUCCACAAAGCUUUUCACAUUGUAAGAAUAAGACAAAGCCUGAAAUUAUUCACCCUCAGACAUAAAGGACUGUGAAGGAGACAAUGCAAGAGGCAGGUAUCAGAAUUCUGUUUACCUUUUGAAGUCUAGAUUCAGGGUGGCAUUAAGUGGCCAGCAAAAACAUUUGGGAUUGUUUCAUCAGAAAGUCCAAGCAAAACAUAAAUAAAUAUUUUAAUUUUUUUUUAUUAUUUUUUUAUUUUGCACCAACCAGUGUUUUGUUCCCUUCCAAAAUUAUCUUGUGCUGAUAUCUUGAUACCUUCCAUUCUGUCACCUAAUUUAUUCCAUUUAUUUUAAGAGUUUAAUUAUUAUUUUAAAAAACGCUGUAACUAAAAUGUCUUUACAAUAUAGAGCAUAUACUCCAACCUGCCACCUUUGUGUACAAAAAUCAUGAAUGCUUGUCUCUAGAAAUGUACAAAAGUUCUGCUUAGAAUAUGUGCUCAGUUUUGACAUUUUGCCUCUACACUUCUGAAUAUUUGACUGUCAUGCUCAAUUCUUUCAUUGGCAGUGGGACUGAAAAAUUCCUGAUUUUGCAACCAGACACACAAGCAGAAUUCUUACCCAUCAAAGUAAAACAAAAAUAACCUUGAGCUUUCAAAGCUGAACAAGUUACUUAAUAUUUUCAGUGUUUCCUUCUCAUUUUCUCACCAUCUUAUGGUACAUGCCUAUCCUUAUUUCUUAUACUGGAGUCUUAAACAGCUUCUUCUCUCAGGUUAUUCAAACUCAGCCAAGGACCAGAAUUGUUCCACUGAAGGCUCAGAGGAGACAUUGUGAUAUAUACUGUGGUUGCACUGGAUUAUUUCCCUUGAACAGCAAAAAUGCACAUAACAUAAGAACAUAUAUUGUAGUGGUGGAAGUGUGCAGGCUGAAAGAGUAG